GUUAGUGGAAAAACAGGCAUGUGUUUUAGUUUGCCAAACACCUGUUUUCCUACUUGCCACCACUCCCUUCAUACCAGCACUAGAGAAGGUCUGGCUAUCAGGGAAAGGGGGCAGAACAGUGACCAGGACAAUUCUGGUUUUAAUAACAAGGUGU